AGAACGGAAGGGCGGGACCGCCUGGCCGCAGCCCGGCCCUGCGCGGCAGACGGUGCCUACACCUGCUGGGGAGAGCGCGGCAGGAGAGCGGCGCGGAGCGGGGGCCCAGAAUAUGGCUGCUAUUUGUUUAGGACCCGCCCGGUGUGUUCUAGGCGCGCUCCAGCCUACGCUGCAAGGUGUCUCUCGCAGUCCUGGUUUCGCAUAGGAGGAAACGGAAAUUCAGAGAAGUAAAGUAACUUGCCCAAGGUCACGCAGGACUGGGACUGAAUCCAGGAAUUAGGCCCUGUCAGAUUCCAAGGCUGCUUUUUCCGUUACACCAACACAGCCUCUAUUUCGAGGCCUGAAGUGGUUAAAAACAAAAAUAAGUAUUGCCUCAGUAUUCAUCCAAGUCCCUAUGUCCCGUUCGAGUCACAUUCACAGUGUUCGCGUAAACUGUAAAGCAGCAACCACCACAAACUGACAAGAGACUUAUUAAGACUGAGGCAAAGCUGAGAGUAAGUACACAGGACAGAGCUAAAUCGUGGAAGGAGCCGAGAUGCCCUUCAACAGAUGACUGGAUUAAGAAG